rnacentral:rRNA from 1 species
UGGCCUCUUUGGGGUCCGAGUUGUAAUUUGUAGAGGAUGUUUCGGGUACCGCCUCGGUUUAAAUUUCUUGGAACAGAAUGUCAAAGAGGGUGAGAAUCCCGUCUUGGACCGGCGGUAGGGCCCAUGUGAAACUCCUUCGACGAGUCGAGUUGUUUGGGAAUGCAGCUCAAAAUGGGUGGUAAAUUUCAUCUAAAGCUAAAUAUUGGCCAGAGACCGAUAGCGCACAAGUAGAGUGAUCGAAAGAUGAAAAGCACUUUGAAAAGAGAGUUAAACAGUAUGUGAAAUUGUUGAAAGGGAAGCGCUUACAACCAGACUUGCGCGCGGCGGUUCCCCCUUCCUUUUGGUUGGGCUACUCCGUCGUGUCCAGGCCAACAUCGGUUCUGGGGGUCGGUUAAAGACCCUGGGAAUGUAUCUACCCUUCGGGCGUAGACUUAUAGCUCAGGGUGUCAUGCGACCU